GAUGAACGCUGGCGGCGUGCCUAAUACAUGCAAGUCGAGCGAACAGACGAGGAGCUUGCUCCUCUGACGUUAGCGGCGGACGGGUGAGUAACACGUGGAUAACCUACCUAUAAGACUGGGAUAACUUCGGGAAACCGGAGCUAAUACCGGAUAAUAUAUUGAACCGCAUGGUUCAAUAGUGAAAGACGGUUUUGCUGUCACUUAUAGAUGGAUCCGCGCCGCAUUAGCUAGUUGGUAAGGUAACGGCUUACCAAGGCAACGAUGCGUAGCCGACCUGAGAGGGUGAUCGGCCGCACUGGAACUGAGACACGGUCCAGACUCCUACGGGAGGCAGCAGUAGGGAAUCUUCCGCAAUGGGCGAAAGCCUGACGGAGCAACGCCGCGUGAGCGAUGAAGGUCUUCGGAUCGUAAAACUCUGUUAUUAGGGAAGAACAAAUGUGUAAGUAACUAUGCACGUCUUGACGGUACCUAAUCAGAAAGCCACGGCUAACUACGUG
rnacentral:rRNA from 1 species